GCAAGUCGAACGACUUUGUUUACAAAGUAGUGACGGACGGGUGAGUAAUGUGUAAGAACCAACAUUUAGGCCGGGGACAACAUUUGGAAACGAUUGCUAAUACCUGAUAAUGCUUUUAAGUUAAAGAUUUUAUAUCACCUAAAUAUGGGCUUGCAUCCGAUUAGCUAGUAGGUGAGGUAAUGGCUUACCUAGGCAAUGAUCGGUAGCUGGUUUGUGAGAAUGAUCAGCCACACGGGAAUUGAGAACGGGACCGACUCCUACGGGAGGCAGCAGUGAGGAAUUUUCCGCAAUGGGUGAAAGCCUGACGGAGCAAUGCCGCGUGAAGGAAGAAGGCCUUAGGGUUGUAAACUUCUUUUCUCAUUGAAGAAGUUCUGACGGUAUUUGAGGAAUAAGCAUCGGCUAACUUCGUGCCAGCAGCCGCGGUAAUACGAGGGAUGCAAGCGUUAUCCGGAAUUAUUGGGCGUAAAGAGUUUGUAGGUUGCUUAAUGUGUUUAACGUUAAAUAUUAGAGCUUAACUUUGAAGUUGCGUUAAAAACUAUUAGACUUGAGUAUGGUAGAGGUAAAGGGAAUUCCCAGUGUAGCGGUGAAAUGCGUAGAUAUUGGGAAGAACACCAAUGGCGAAAGCACUUUACUAGGCUAAUACUGACACUGAGAAACGAAAGCUAAGGGAUCAAAAAGGAUUAGAUACCCUUGUAGUCUUAGCCGUAAACAAUGGAUACUAGGUGGU
rnacentral:rRNA from 1 species